UCAACGCAGCAGCUGAACACUGGGAAGGAACCGCGCUUGGAGUCCAGACAUCUGGAAUACGGAAGAGGAAGAGACACCAGGAGUACUCAUUCAAGAAAAGGCCAUGUGAGGACACAGGGAGAAGGCGGCCAUCUCCAAGCCAGGAAAAGAAGUCUCACUGAAAACCAGCUCUGCUAGCACCUUGAUCUUGGACUUCUCGCCUCCAGAACUGUAAGCAAAUUA
rnacentral:lncRNA from 1 species